rnacentral:lncRNA from 1 species
GUGGGAAAUUUAGCGGAAAGUAAAGAAUUGGUCUCUUAGUAAUCCACGAAAAUAGUCUUUAAUGUAAAAUUCUAUCACUUUUGGCAAUUAAACAAGAUUUAAAAGGUAAAUAUUGCAAGUGAUGGUUUUCUCAAAAAGAGUACAUUUUUAACCUUUAUCUAUAUUUGUCUGUUUUUCAACAGUUCAAGACCCGGCAGGCCCCCUAAGCGUUCUUUGGGAAUGUUGCAGGAAAAUGCCCGCCUUCUGCCCCAUGCAGUCCCAGGCCUCUUAUCGCCAGGACUUAUCACUCCGACAGGUAUAACAGCUGCAGCAAUGGCUGAGGCGAUGAAACUUCAGAAGAUGAAGCUUAUGGCUAUGAACACUCUUCAGGGAAAUGGAAGCCAAAAUGGGACCGAAUCAGAGCCUGAUGAUCUUAAUUCUAACACAGGUGGAAGUGAAUCCUCCUGGGAUAAAGAUAAGAUGCAGUCUCCAUUUGCUGCACCUGGACCCCAACAUGGAAUUGCUCAUGCAGCCCUAGCUGGCCAGCCAGGCAUUGGGGGUGCUCCAACCCUCAAUCCACUGCAGCAGAACCACCUGCUAACCAACAGUAUGUAUACUGUCCUCACAAAACUGGGUGUGUUGAACAAAAUACUAUCCAAGACCUAC